CGUAUUCACUACUGUAAGUCUCUCUGGAUAAGAGCGUCUGCUAAAUGACUAAAA
rfam:Salmo salar isolate Sally breed double haploid chromosome ssa27, whole genome shotgun sequence.